AACGAACGCUGGCGGCAGGCCUAACACAUGCAAGUCGAACGCUGUAGCAAUACAGAGUGGCAGACGGGUGAGUAACGCGUGGGAACAUACCCUUCGGUUCGGAAUAACUCAGGGAAACUUGAGCUAAUACCGGAUACGUGCGAGAGCAGAAAGAUUCAUCGCCGAAGGAUUGGCCCGCGUUCGAUUAGCUUGUUGGUGAGGUAAUGGCUCACCAAGGCGACGANCGAUAGCUGGUCUGAGAGGAUGAUCAGCCACAUUGGGACUGAGACACGGCCCAAACUCCUACGGGAGGCAGCAGUGGGGAAUAUUGGACAAUGGGCGAAAGCCUGAUCCAGCCAUGCCGCGUGAGUGAUGAAGGCCCUAGGGUUGUAAAGCUCUUCGUCAGGGACGACAAUGACGGUACCUGAAGAAGAAGCCCCGGCUAACUUCGUGCCAGCAGCCGCCGC
rnacentral:rRNA from 1 species